GCAUGGCUGAAUACUGUGUUCUUUAAUCAGUAAUUUACACAGCCAGACACCAUGCAAAAGUAAAGUCUUCCUUUAAGAUAGCAGUCGAUAUGCUAUGUUGUAUGGUAUGUCAUUAUUAAAAGUGAAUACAAAU